GAGGGCAUAGCUUAGUAGCAGAGCAUGUGCUUAGCAUGUGCAAGGUCUUGGGUUCAAUCCCCAGUACCUCUC
rnacentral:tRNA from 1 species